UGAUACAUUCAACCCAACUACCAAGAUGGUCCAGAACACAAGAAAAUGAAGAUUUCUCAGAAUUCUCUCCAAGUUUGGAUACUUAAAUUACAGUUUUAGAAGAAAACCCUGUGAGAGAAUAGGAAGACCUAGAAUGCAUAUCUGGAUGUUGCAGGGACAAAAGAUCUGAUAUUGGCUCCCCAUCCUCAGGAAGUAGGGCAAUGGGGACCAGAAAAACGUACUCAGUUCUUUCUGACAUGAGACUGAGGGCCUUCAUCUUCUUGGCUAUUCUCCACUGGCUAGCCUACAGUUCUCAGGACUGAACAGAAUAGUCAACCAUGGGUUGGCCGAGGACGCUGCCCAGCUGAAGAGAGAAUCAGUGACUUGGUUAUUCAAGGAACAUUAUUCCCAUACAGAUGGUAAAUUGCUUUUAAAGCAAUUUAGGCUGAGGGCUCCUAAUAAAAAGCAUCAGGUGCCAUAAAACA